CUGGGUAAUUAAGAAAGAUAGUGAUUAAAUGAAGUCGAAUGCGUAAUUAACAAGUAAUUUAAUGAUGUUGCUAGGUAAUUGAAGAAUUGGCACUCAAACCCAAGGUUGGUGGGCGAAUUAUAUGAAUAGGAGAUGCUAGGAACAAGGAGCGUGACAUGCUUCAGGGUUAUGGG